UCAAGGAGUACACUUAUAUUACCAGACUGUACUAUACCCGUAACCGUACAGUACAAGUGGUUGGGAUGGAUUGUGAAGAUGUGCAAGCACUAAAAUUAGACCACCACCGCUUGUGUGAAGAGUUGGCCCACUGCAAGGCCGACAAAGAAUUCGUGUGGUCGCUAUGGAAACAGUUGCAAAAGGAGUCUCCUGAUCUGACUGCAGCUGUUGAUAUGGUCACCACAAGAGAAAAGUUAAAGCGAGAACAAGAAGGCAAAGAAAUUGUUCUGUUAAUGUCAGGAAAGGAUGAGGAAAUUUCAUCUCUGAGAAAGAGUAUAGAGGACAGUGUUCAGAAGGAAACUCAUGUCUCAUCGCAACUACAAGCGGCUGAGUCAAAGUAUGUCUCAGCUCUAGAAGAAGUUAAAAGUCUGCAGGCAGCUGUACAACAACAACUGGCGUCCAAUAGAGAGAUGAUGGCAGUAAAUGUCGCUCUGAGGAAGAAAUGUUCCACUCUGGAGAAGUCUGAACAAGACGCAGCAGAUUGUUUGCACAACACAGAGGAAAAACUGUCUGGAGAAGACUCAAUGCUGGCCAAGAGAGUGAGAGCAGUGGAGGCAGAGCUGGCUGAGUCAGAGCAGAGGGUGGCCACUUUAUCUUCUGCUUUGUCUGUGAAUGAAAACAGAUACAAGCAUGUGCAAAAUGAACUUUCUAAAACAAAUAAUAUUAAUCGAGAGCAAAAGGAGAAGCUCAAACUAAGCCAGAAGGAGCUUCAAAAACUGAGGAGCACUCACCGUGAGGAGGAGAAGAGCCAAAGGAAAUCAGAGGUGUGUGAUGACAAAGUGGUGGUGAUGCUUGAGAGAACAGAGGUUGAGCUCUUUGAGGCAAAGUCUCAGUUGAAAGUAAAGGCGGAAGAGCUGCAGUGCCUUCGUUGCUCGCAUGAUAAACGUUUGGAGCGAAUGAAGUGGCUAAAGACAAACUACAACCUGGCUGUGGAGCAGAUUAAAACCUAUGAAACCAAAAGCAGUCCUAGAGAUGUGCGUAGAACUGAACGUAGACGGAGACACUCUGAGAGUGCUCUCAAGCAUGAAGACAGUCGACUAGUAUGGAAUGAGUUAACACAGUACAAGUCGCUCUGUCAGCAAAUGGAACAUGACCUAGUUCUGCUUGAGGAGGAGAGAGACGUUUUACUGACAAAAUGCUCCCGGAACCAGACCACCAUCUUUGAGUUGAGAGCCUGUCUGCAACACGAGAAAGAUGAUCUUGAGAGGAAGGUUGCAGCAAUUGCAAUGCUUGAAGGCUCUGUUGAGAGUUUCACUCUUCAAGAACAACAGGUUGAUGAGCUACAGCACUGUGUGGAUUGCCUGGAAACAGAAAAGAAGCAGCUUUUAACAAAAAACAUUGUUCUGGAGAAGCAGUGUGCUGUGUUCUAUCAGGAGAGGAUUGCUUUAGAAUCCACCAUUAUACAAAUGCAACACGAGCUCUCACGGAAGAACAUCAAAGGAUUGUGCAAAGCUACUAUGACUGAAGCAGCUCUACACUCCCCCUCAACUGACUGCAAUCAGUCACCUACCAAAUACCAACCUUCUUCAAAAACUAAGCUUUCAUUCCCCACACCACAGUCAAAAGUUAUACAACCCUCCCAUUCUCAAUCUAAGCCCCUGUUAAACACUUCUUCACCGACUCGAUCUAGACCCAUGCACCAAAAGAAACUAAGUUCCCAUCAUCAAAGAUCCCAUUCAGACGGUGACACAUUGCCACAGCAGCACAAGCAGCCUCAGUGGAUUGCGAAGGACUCCGAGAGAUCAACAAAUAGCACAACACCAUACGUGUUGACAGUUACUACACCUCACCAAACUGCCAGUGGCAGGACACAAAAAGAGAGGAGGGGUGUGUGUCGUGAUGUGCAGACUUCCUCCACUCAGACAAGAGAUCUGGGUCCUCACAAAUGUGCUGCGCAGAGCAAGGUUAAGAGGCUAGAGCAAAGACUGCAGAGUGUCCUGAAUAAGCUGGCUGAUGAGAGCCUGGCUAGGACGUCCCUAAUUCAGUCACUGAGAGAACAGACCAGUAUGAGAGAGAGGUGCAAAGAAGAGAUCCGGGAGAUGGGACAGAAAAUUCAAGGAUACAGGGUCUCCCUUAAGGUUGCUGAAAGUGAGAGAAAUGAAGGGAAACUGAGUAUUAAGAAGCUUGAAGAUAAAGUGAGGCUCCUGGAAUCAUCAAGCACAAUGUCUAUGGGGCAAGUAGAGGGGCACAUAAAAAGCCUUGAAAAAGAAAAGAAGGAACUGCAGGAUAAGCAUUCUGAGUUGAGAAGCUCCUCACAGUUUCUACAACAAGCCCUUCAAUCAAAGGACUAUGCCAUUGCACAGGCCAAGAAAACUCAGGAGAAGACAGACAGAGACUUGAGGCAAAAGAGGCAGCUAAUUGAAGACCACCAGAGGAAACUGAAACUGGCUCAAAGCAGCAAUACUGCCAAAGAAGAUAAAAUAGGAAGUCUUACUCAAGAGUUAGACAAAGUAACCAAACUGGUUUCACAAGACAAGCAAAAGAUGCAGCUGUUACGAGCUCAACUCUCCCAACAAGCGUUGGACAAGGACAAGCUGGUAUCAUUGCUCGAGAGGUGUCAAGAGGAACUGGAUGGAAGUAUUCAGCAGAUGGUUACUAGCAGAGACCAAGGAGAGAGGAAGCUCAAAGCUGCCAAUGAAUGCCUUCGCUCUGCUCAACGUGAUCUUGACGUUGCUAGGGAGAAGGUGGUGACAGUGAAGUGUGAACUCCAAGCGACCAAGGAAGUUGUUAAUGAAUUCAAGCUGGCUAUCCAGAUGCUGGCUGAUGAACUUGAAGCCAAGUAUUCAAAACAGAAAGAGGCCGCAUCUGAACUGCAUGUACCAAUGUUAGGUAGUGGUCCCUCAGCUCGUGUCAGACAAAUAGCCCAGGCUGCCCUCAGGCUGUCUGAUGAGGACAUUGAUGACCUGUUCUGUGACACGCUGCAUACUCACAGCCAGAAACCCAACUUGGAUGGAAACGGGAAAACUUCCCUUUUUUUGAGUAUCUUACAAGCAACUGCUGAUUUUAAGUAUGAACGUUAGGAAACGGACUACAGUAGGUUCGAUCGAUGCACUCACUGCCCCACCAACACCACCAACCUUUUUGUGCCUCCAUUUACGAGAGAACUAACUUCACAGAUAAUGACAAAGCUUUGUUAAUUUGAAACUGAAUAUGUUCAUAAUCAUGUAUCAUCAACAAAUUAUAUUACGAUGUUUCAGGCAAAGUACGUGUGUGUUUUGUAUGUAUAAAAAACAACGUUUUCAUUGGUUAA